GACGAACGCUGGCGGCGUGCCUAAUACAUGCAAGUUGAGCGAUGAAGAUUGGUGCUUGCACCAAUUUGAAGAGCAGCGAACGGGUGAGUAACGCGUGGGGAAUCUGCCUUUGAGCGGGGGACAACAUUUGGAAACGAAUGCUAAUACCGCAUAACAACUUUAAACAUAAGUUUUAAGUUUGAAAGAUGCAAUUGCAUCACUCAAAGAUGAUCCCGCGUUGUAUUAGCUAGUUGGUGAGGUAAAGGCUCACCAAGGCGAUGAUACAUAGCCGACCUGAGAGGGUGAUCGGCCACAUUGGGACUGAGACACGGCCCAAACUCCUACGGGAGGCAGCGGUAGGGAAUCUUCGGCAAUGGACGAAAGUCUGACCGAGCAACGCCGCGUGAGUGAAGAAGGUUUUCGGAUCGUAAAACUCUGUUGGUAGAGAAGAACGUUGGUGAGAGUGGAAAGCUCAUCAAGUGACGGUAACUACCCAGAAAGGGACGGCUAACUACGUG
rnacentral:rRNA from 1 species